GGAGGAGCAUGACGAGGAGGAGGAGGAGUGUGAGGAGGAGGAGGAGCAUGACGAGGAGGAGGAGGGUCCUGCUGUCACACAGAUGAAAACACACAUCGUUCUUCAUCGUUGAUCUGCAGCUCGGAGGCUUCACAGCGGACAUGAGGAGGAGAGACGAGCUUCUUCAUCACAGGAACAUGAAGAGGAGGAACAACGGAGAGAAGAGGAGGAGAACACAGUGAGUUGAUCGGCCUCUCUGAAGCUCCUCCCUCAAAACCUCCUCUCUGCUCAACGCACAAAUAUUUUCCCACGUGGUCACACGUCCUGCAACCAGCAUGCCAAUCAUCAGCAACACCAACCACGACUUCAGCACCUACUCCAUCAGCAGCGACGACAGCAGCCUCGACCGCUUCUUCACUGAGAUCCCGGAGACCGAGACCAUCAAGGGCGCUUACUUUCAGCGAGCGCAGCUGCUUCGUGAGCCCAAGGCCUCGUUAGUGGUCGACCACACUCUGCAGGUCCUCAUCAAUGUCGGGGGCAACCGCUACACCUUCCCCUGGAGCACCUUGGAGCAGUUUCCCCAGAGUCGCCUGGGACGCCUUCGCUUCUGCACCACCCCUGAGGAGAUUGCACGACUCUGCGACGACUACGACGAGACGUGCCGGGAGUAUUUCUUUGACCGGAACCCAACAGCCUUCAGGGUCAUCCUCAACUUCCUGGCAGCAGGCAAACUUCGUCUACUUCGGGAACUGUGUGCCGUGUCCCUGCACGACGAGCUCGCCUACUGGGGCGUGGACCCGGGUCAUAUGGAGCGAUGCUGCCGCCGCCGCAUGAUCACCCGGGUAGAAGACGUGGCGGAGAGAGAGCGUAAGGAAGAGGAGUGGAGGCAGAAGAGGAUGACGCUGAAGAAAAGCACCACAGAGGCUGAGAAAGACCACGGCAGACUGAUCGGGAUCCUGAGGGAGGUGGUGGAGAACCCUCACUCAGGACUGGCUGGGAAGAUGUUCGCCUGCCUCUCCGUCAUCAUGGUGCUGGUCACCGUCAUCAGCCUCUGCAUCAGCACCAUGCCGGACCUCAGAGACGAGGAGACCAGGGGCGAGUGUUCUCAGAAGUGUCGCAGCAUGUUCGUGGUGGAGUCCAUCUGCGUCGCCUGGUUCACGCUGGAGUUCAUUCUGCGAUUUGUCAACGCCCAGAGCAAGCUGGCCUUCGCUCGCGGCCCCCUCAACAUCAUCGAUGUCAUCGCCAUCCUCCCGUACUACGUGUCGCUGGUCAUCGAUGUCAGAGAUGAGUCACAGGAGGAGGUCAUCAUGGGCGCCGGCAGAGGCUACCUGGACAAACUGAGCCUGAUCCUGCGGCUGCUGCGGGCUCUGAGGAUCCUGUACGUGAUGCGGCUGGCUCGCCACUCGCUGGGCCUGCAGACGUUGGGGCUGACCAUGCAGCGCAGCAUGAGGGAGUUCGGCCUGCUGCUGCUGUUCGUCUGCGUGGCCGUGACUCUCUUCUCACCUCUGGUCCAUCUGGCGGAGAGCGAGCUAGCGCCGUUUGCCGCCACGCACCCUCAACACAGCUUCAGCAGCAUCCCGGCGUCUUACUGGUGGGCCAUUAUCUCCAUGACUACGGUGGGCUACGGUGACAUGGUGCCGCGCAGCAUCCCCGGACAGAUAGUGGCACUGACCAGCAUCCUGAGUGGCAUCCUCAUCAUGGCGUUUCCCGCCACCUCCAUCUUCCACACUUUCUCCCGCUCCUAUCAGGAGCUGAAACAGGAGUAUGAGCGGCUGUGGAAGGAGGAGAGAGGCGAGGAGAUCGCUGCCGAGUCAGAGAACAGUUGGUCCAAGGUUGAUCUGUCACCUGACGAGGUCACGUCUUUCUCCAAGGACGAUAAUGACGGACCGAUGUCCAGCGAGAGUCGUCAGUCCACACUUCCUUCAACAGCUUUUUAACUGAGCGACUUUAUUCAGUUAUAUGUACAAAAUGUAUCACUCGACUCCAGUGGCCUGUUUAUUUUCAACAGGGACACAAUUUAACUUGUCUCGUCAUGUUCUGGUUUCAUUUGUUACGUUAAAGGUUCAGUGUGUAGGAUGUGGUGGCAUCUAGUGGUGAGGUAACAGAUUGCUACUAGGAGAAAACGAUGGUCGUCAGGUAACAUCACCUGUUUUCACACAUACAAUGUUGUGUAGUUAGUGUUUGUGAAGCAGCAGCAGCAGGUUGUCGGGUCCGACUCGUUCAAACAGGAACAUGUGGGAACAUCCAGGCGAGGGGCGGAGCC